CAGAUCUGCUGAGAAACUGCCCUGGUGAGAGCAGGGAGAGCAACCUCCCCAAGCUGGGUCUGCUCCUGUGGCUCACAGCCCUGCUGGAUCACCACGCUCAGCCUGAGAAGACAAGGAGAGCACGUUUAUCAGCCCAAAGGUGCAUGUGCCAGCUAGCCCUGGUGCUGAGCCAGCAUUCCACGGCCCCUCAGCUGUUCUCCCCAGACUAGUGGGAUAAAGUCAAGCCUGUGGGGCUGGACGUUGAAGCCUCAUUGCUACAAACCAUAAUCCUGCUGGUUUGGCAGCUACAGGGACAUCCCAGAGCAGCAACCCCUCAAGUCAGGGCGAAGAGCAGAAUCAGCAGAGAUGAGACAACAAGAUCCCAGGCUGCCUCAGAUCCAGUGCCUCGUCCAUCUCCUACAGGCAGAGUCCCUGUCCCGAGGCUCCCAAGUCCCCUAAUGAUCAGUCGAUGACAUUGGCUGUCCAGAAAAUCCCAGGAACCUGCUCUGGCUCCUGCCAGGAAACUCUGGGAUUGCAGCAGCUCCUGGAAAGCUGGCAGAGCUAUGGAAGUGGGGAGGCAUGGAUGAACCACACAUAAAUUUGCAUUUAUUAAUAACA